AGUGAACGCUGGCGGCAGGCCUAACACAUGCAAGUCGAACGGCAGCACAGUGGUAGCAAUACCAUGGGUGGCGAGUGGCGGACGGGUGAGGAAUACAUCGGAAUCUACCUUUUCGUGGGGGAUAACGUAGGGAAACUUACGCUAAUACCGCAUACGACCUUAGGGUGAAAGCGGAGGACCUUCGGGCUUCGCGCGGAUAGAUGAGCCGAUGUCGGAUUAGCUAGUUGGCGGGGUAAAGGCCCACCAAGGCGACGAUCCGUAGCUGGUCUGAGAGGAUGAUCAGCCACACUGGAACUGAGACACGGUCCAGACUCCUACGGGAGGCAGCAGUGGGGAAUAUUGGACAAUGGGCGCAAGCCUGAUCCAGCCAUGCCGCGUGGGUGAAGAAGGCCUUCGGGUUGUAAAGCCCUUUUGUUGGGAAAGAAAAGCAGUCGGUUAAUACCCGAUUGUUCUGACGGUACCCAAAGAAUAAGCACCGGCUAACUUCGUGC
rnacentral:rRNA from 2 species